UACAGAGGUGGCAAGCGUUGUUCGGAAUUACUGGGCGUAAAGGGCGCGUAGGCGGUCUUCUAAGUCUUGUGUGAAAUCCCUCGGCUCAACUGAGGAACUGCACGGGAUACUGGAAGACUUGAAUCCGGGAGAGGGAUGCAGAAUUCCAGGUGUAGCGGUGAAAUGCGUAGAUAUCUGGAGGAACACCGAUGGCGAAGGCAGCUUGCUGGGACGGUACUGACGCUGAGACGCGAAAGCGUGGGGAGCAAACAGG
rnacentral:rRNA from 1 species